rnacentral:lncRNA from 1 species
GGACUUCUUGGCAUUUCCGUGAGGAAGAGGAGAUUGGUUACAGACAAGCACAGAAGGAAGACCACACGAAGACACAGAAUGGAGGCUCUCUCUAUGCUACACAGAGAAGUCUCAGAAGAAACCAAUCUUGCUGGCACCUUGAUCUCAGGCUUCCAGCCUCCAGAAUUGUGAGAAAAUAAAGUUCUGUUGUUUGUCACCCCAUCUGUGGUAGGUUGUUAUGGCAGCCUGAGGAAACUAAUACAGGUGUCCUAAUGGAAAGGCCCAUGCUCUCAUAGCUGCUUGGCAGCCUCCAGGGUGAGUAAGAUGUGGCUGGAACGCAAGCACGCAUUGUCUGCAAGUCCUCAGCUGCUGAGGGAAGGCUGGACCUUGUGCUUGGCUGCAGGGUGUGGCCUCUGACACGGAAGCACUUUUCCAGCCCUGGGUGACUCUUGGAGUGAGUAUUAUCACAGACCAUGUCUGCACAAUUUACAUCCACCAAUGAAUUAACUUCUAUUUACAAGACUUGAAGAAAUGCACCAAGGUCGGCUGAAUGAAAACUCAACGUCAGUAGCAUUUUGUAAUUGAUGAUGAUGAUGAUGAAUUAAUUUGUGUACAAUGACUAUCAAUACCUAUUAUCAAUAUCCAUUACUUUUUUGUUUGUUUAUUUGUUUUUUUGGGUUUUCUUGUUUUGUUUUGUUUUUUUUUUUUUGCAUGUCUGAACUCUCUAUCUUGGUUGUAGCCUCAUUGUGGACAAGGAGUACAAUAACAUACUCAAUUUUGCAUCCUUUGCUGUUAAUUAAAAAAAAAUCCUCAUUCGAUAAUGAGAAGAAAAAUUAUCAGCAAUUAUCUUAACAAGCAGCUCCCCGGCUCUGGCAUGAGCACAAGGUCAUCUAAUUGGUGCCCAUUGGAGACGCUCCGUCAGACUCCCCGUUGACAUACUGCCAUCUGGUGGAGCUGGGCGGGCGGAUCAGCUUUCACAGUCUGAUGUUGCCUGUGUCUCGACAUAUGUUUGUUCCCGGUUCCUGCUGAUUUUCCUGACAGCUGUCCAAAUCCAGGGGCGAGCACCAUGCAGGCCCAGGCCUUGGCAGAAUACUGAAG